AGUUAAGCAGAUUUCACAAACAAGACUCAUUCACUGAUUUGACAUAAACGGUGAAGAAAUUGGAGAGCAAGAGAUGGCCUCCUGGUCUCUGGUUUGAAUAACCGGAUGCUCUAAGAGCAGGACUACCAUAUGAGGAUGCAGAGACUGUGCUUUGUGAAACUCCAGGGGCACCAUUCAUACAAGCCAACUGGACUCCAAGUGCCACGAGAACAGAGAUUGGGUCUGGUCCCCAGCUUCAGUGCCUCCAAGGCAGAAACUCAAGAGACGUUGUUGAACUGUCAGCCUUUACAUUUAUGCAUUACUAUUGAAGGCCUGGAAUAAAUGGAUCGUGUUUUACCUGUUA